rnacentral:rRNA from 1 species
UACAGAGGUGUCAAACGUUGUCCGGAAUUAUUGGGCGUAAAGGGCUCGUAGGCGGCCAACUAAGUCAGACGUGAAAUCCCUCAGCUUAACUGGGGAACUGCGUCUGAUACUGGAUGGCUUGGAUCCGGGAGAGGGAUGCGGAAUUCCAGGUGUAGCGGUGAAAUGCGUAGAUAUCUGGAGGAACACCGGUGGCGAAGGCGGCAUCCUGGACCGGUAUUGACGCUGAGGAGCGAAAGCCAGGGGAGCAAACGGG